rnacentral:rRNA from 1 species
UGAGUGCGAGCUGCUACGGCAGCGAAGUUGGUGAUGUCAUGCUUCCAAGAAAAGCCCUAUACCCGUUAAGGCAUCAUGGCCUGUACCCGAAACCGACACAGGUGGGGUGGUAGAGAAUACCGAGGGGCGCGAGGUAACUCUCUCUAAGGAACUCGGCAAAAUGGCCCCGUAACUUCGGGAGAAGGGGUGCCACCGCAAGGUGGUCGCAGUGAAGAGGCCCAGGCGACUGUUUACCAAAAACACAGGUCUCCGCUAAGUCGCAAGACGAUGUAUGGGGGCUGACGCCUGCCCAGUGCCGGAAGGUUAAGGAAGCUGGUCAGCGCAAGCGAAGCUAGCGACUGAAGCCCCGGUGAACGGCGGCCGUAACAAUAACGGUCCUAAGGUAGCGAAAUUCCUUGUCGGGUAAGUUCCGACCCGCACGAAAGGCGUAACGAUCUGGGCGCUGUCUCGGAGAGAGGCUCGGCGAAAUAGAAUUGUCUGUGAAGAUGCGGACUACGUGCACCCGGACAGAAAGACCCUAUGAAGCUUUACUGUAGCUUGGUAUUGUGCCCGGGCUCGCAAUGCGCAGGAUAGGUGGGAGGCUUUGAUCAUCGGCUUGCGGGUCGAUGUGAGCCAACGGUGAGAUACCACUCUUUGCGAGCUAGGGUUCUAACGGCCACCCGUCAUCCGGGGGCCGGACAGUACCUGGUGGGCAGUUUGACUGGGGCGGUCGCCUCCUAAAAGGUAACGGAGGCGCGCAAAGGUUUGCUCAGGCUGGUUGGAAAUCAGCCGACGAGUGUAAAAGCAGAAGCAAGCUUGACUGUGAGACCAACAAGUCGAACAGGGAGGAAACUCGGCUUUAGUGAUCCGACGGUUCUGAGUGGAAGGGCCGUCGCUCAACGGAUAAAAGUUACUCUAGGAUAACAGGCUGAUCUCCCCCAAGAGUUCACAUCGACGGGGAGGUUUGGCACCUCGAUGUCGGCUCAUCGCAACCUGGGGCUGAAGUCGGUCCCAAGGGUUGGGCUGUUCGCCCAUUAAAGCGGUACGCGAGCUGGGUUCAGAACGUCGUGAGACAGUUCGGUCCAUAUCCGGUGCACGCGCAGGAAUAUUGAGAGGAUUUCUCCCUAGUACGAGAGGACCGGGAGGAACGCACCUCUGGUGUACCAGUUAUCGUGCCAACGGUAAACGCUGGGUAGCCAUGUGCGGAGUGGAUAACCGCCGAAAGCAUCUAAGUGGGAAGCCCACCUCAAGAUGAGUAUUCCCAUGGCGUAAGCCAGUAAGGUCACGGGAAGAACACCCGUUGAUAGGCUCUAUGUGGAAGCGCAGUAAUGCGUGAAGCAGAGGAGUACUAAUAGACCGAGGGCUUGACC